UGAGGAACAUGACCUUCGGCGGGGGAUAGCCGGCCCAACGGCCGGGUAAUACCGCGUACGACCACAUGGGGACAUCCCUGAGUGGUGAAAGCAGCAAUGCGCCGAUGGAGUGCCUCGCGGCCUAUCAGCUAGUUGGUGAGGUAACGGCUCACCAAGGCGACGACGGAUAGCUGGUCUGAGAGGAUGGCCAGCCACAUUGGGACUGAGACACGGCCCAGAUCCCUACGGGG
rnacentral:rRNA from 1 species